rnacentral:rRNA from 1 species
UACGAAGGGGGCUAGCGUUGCUCGGAAUCACUGGGCGUAAAGCGCACGUAGGCGGCUUUCUAAGUCAGGGGUGAAAUCCUGGAGCUCAACUCCAGAACUGCCUUUGAUACUGGAGAGCUAGAGUCCGGAAGAGGUGAGUGGAACUGCGAGUGUAGAGGUGAAAUUCGUAGAUAUUCGCAAGAACACCAGUGGCGAAGGCGGCUCACUGGCCCGGUACUGACGCUGAGGCACGAAAGCGUGGGGAGCAAACAGG